CUCUGGCAGAGUGCCUGGGUGAUGUGGAGGGUUCCUCGCAUGGCUGGAUAUCCCAAAUACUCCUGGUCUCCUGGUGCCAAUGGUGACCAGAAGUUUCUGCUGCUCCCGAGACAGCUGAUCCCGUUCUCCAGACACCACUGGGCUCCUGAAAGGACGCUCCACAUCUCUGCAGGGCAGGUGAACCUCUCACGAAAGGGCUGCAAAUUGGGCCAGUCCUGGAGGGAAGCAAUUCCAGGGAUAAAAGCAGGUACAGUAACUACUUCAAUGACCUCAUUUUGCCAGCCUUGGCUGGCUGUGCAGCCCUCAGGGCCACGAGCAAAC
rnacentral:lncRNA from 1 species